GCCGGGAGUGGUGGUGUGCAUCUAUAGUCCCAGCUACCUGGGAGGAUCAUUGAGCCCAAGAGUUCUGGGCUGUAGUGCCCUAUGCUGAUUGAGUGUCCAUGUUAGGCUCAGCAUCAAUAUGGUGACCUCUCAGGAGCAGGGAACCACCAGGUUGCCUAAGGAAGGGUGAACAGGCCCUGGUUGGAAACAGAGCAGGUCAAAGCUCCCGUGCUGAUCAGUAGUGGCAUAAUGCCAGGGAAUAACCACAACGUUUUAGCCUGGGCAACAUAGU
rnacentral:SRP_RNA from 1 species